rnacentral:rRNA from 1 species
GAUGAACGCUAGCGGCAGGUUUAACACAUGCAAGUCGAGGGGUAACAGGGUAGCAAUACCGCUGACGACCGGCAAACGGGUGCGGAACACGUACGCAAUCUACCGUUGUCUGGGGUAUAGCCCGGAGAAAUCCGGAUUAAUCCCCCAUAAGAUAUUGGAGUGGCAUCACUCAGAUAUUAAAACUCAGGUGGACAAUGAUGAGCGUGCGUCCCAUUAGCUAGUUGGAGGGUAACGGCCUACCAAGGCGACGAUGGGUAGCUGGUGUGAGAGCACGACCAGCCACACGGGCACUGAGACACGGGCCCGACUCCUACGGGAGGCAGCAGUGAGGAAUAUUGGUCAAUGGACGCAAGUCUGAACCAGCCAUGCCGCGUGAAGGAUGAAGGCCUUC